UGCAGGGCCGAGGGCAAAAUACUGUCCCAU
rnacentral:piRNA from 1 species